GAAGAAAAUUUAAAAUUAAAGUAUCGACUGAAUAUUCUUCAAAAGAGUCUUCAGGCAGAAAGGAACAAACCAACUAAAAAUAUGAUUAACAUUAUUAGCCGCCUACAAGAGGUCUUUGGUCAUGCAAUUAAGGCUGCAUAUCCAGAUUUGGAAAAUCCUCCUCUGCUAGUGACACCAAGUCAGCAGGCCAAGUUUGGGGACUAUCAGUGUAAUAGUGCUAUGGGUAUUUCUCAGAUGCUCAAAACCAAGGAACAGAAAGUUAAUCCAAGAGAAAUUGCUGAAAACAUUACCAAACACCUCCCAGACAAUGAAUGUAUUGAAAAAGUUGAAAUUGCUGGUCCUGGUUUUAUUAAUGUCCACUUAAGAAAGGAUUUUGUAUCAGAACAAUUGACCAGUCUUCUAGUGAAUGGAGUUCAACUACCUGCUCUGGGAGAGAAUAAAAAGGUAUAUGUACACUCUUCUAUUAAUAUAUUAGUAUCUUAGAACUGCGUGGAACUAAGCAUUGUGGUAUGUGCCUAUAGUCUCAGCUACUUGGGAGGCUGAAGCAGGAGGAUUGCUUGAGCUUAGAAGUUCAAGGCUGAGGUGUGCUAUGAUCGCACCUGUGAAUAGCUACUGCACUUCAACCUGGGCAGUAUCAUGAGACUUCAUCUCUAAAAAAGAAAAAGAAAAACGAACUGCAUGGAAAGUGCUGAAACUGGGAAUGGAUUUCACUUUUAUAUUGAAAUUUAAUCAUUCACAUUUGAGAUUAUGAACGUUUAUGAAGUAGCCUUUCUCCUGGGUCUAGCAUGUUGUGUGAUUUUUUUUUUCACUUAAUUCCGCAAGGCAUUUGAGGUAGCCAAUUGAUACACAGAUAUCACUGAAAUAGAAUGGAUAAUUUGUAUACAUAAAUUUGAUUCUUUUUCAGUUAAAAAUAUACAAGCAGAUCCAUCAUAAAAUCAAAC
rnacentral:sRNA from 1 species